rnacentral:rRNA from 2 species
UACGUAGGUGGCAAGCGUUAUCCGGAAUUAUUGGGCGUAAAGCGCGCGCAGGUGGUUCCUUAAGUCUGAUGUGAAAGCCCCCGGCUCAACCGGGGAGGGUCAUUGGAAACUGGGGAACUUGAGUGUAGAAGAGGAAAGUGGAAUUCCACGUGUAGCGGUGAAAUGCGUAGAGAUGUGGAGGAACACCAGUGGCGAAGGCGACUUUCUGGUCUAUAACUGACACUGAGGCGCGAAAGCGUGGGGAGCAAACAGG